GGAUGAUAAUAAUAAUAAUAAUAAUGCAGACAGUGAUUAUACUCCCUUCUCAGUGAUAGCUGGGGAUAUUAUUAUUAUUAUUAAUAUUAUCCCCAGCUAUCACUGAGAAGGGAGUAUAAUCACUGUCUGCAUUAUUAUUAUUAUUAUUA
rnacentral:miRNA from 1 species